rnacentral:tmRNA from 1 species
GGGGCUGAUUGGUUUCGACUGGGGACGCUUGUCCCAGGAGAAGCGGGUCGAGAAGCCAGCGUCAUCUCGUAAACGUCCGCUGGAAAACACAACUGCCAACGCUAAGCGCAGUCACUUCGCUCUCGCUGCCUGAGCAGUGAUCGAAGGGUCAGACCGGGCAUCUGCCUCCGUCCCGGAUCCUGGCCUCAUCUAGGGGGCUUGCUGAUCAACUCCUGUCAGGAGGGUUGAUCGGGACUUUUUCCUGACUGAGCCCGUCGGCGCACGUGUCCGUGCCAGCGCCGGGGCCGAGAAAAGCGACCUCACGGACUGCACCCGGAGAAGACCUGGUUCGGCGCUCGAGGACGCGGGUUCGAUUCCCGCCAGCUCCACCG